AAUCCCGUGCGUUACUCUCCAAUCUCCAUUUCCAAGUGAGCGUUACUGAGGAGAGAGAAAAUCGAGGAGGGGAAAAAUGGAAGGAUGAUCGGUCACUGCUCUCCAGUUAGCUUCAACGCCGCAGUGAAGGCGAGAAGAAGAACUAGGGAUUUCCCAACGCAGUUGCUAUCUAUUCCGCCGCCUCCACCGCCGAGUUUCCCACCUCCGGUCGCUGUCUUUGCAUCUUCUCCUUCCCGCUGCUCUUCUCCAUCUUCGCGAUCCCCUUUCCCCUCAAUUGUCUAGAUCUUAUUUCGGAGACUCCUUAUACAAGUAUGAAUUUAUGCAUUUCUUUUGUUAAUCAUAUCUGAUUUCAAAAUUUUCAUAUAAUACUUCAAUUGAUCGAUUUCAAUUGAUUUUGGAUUAAAUUACAUUAAUUAGCAAGACAUACAUUCAUUCUUAAUUUAUUACCUUAAAUUUGAUUUGGAGUUAACCUUUCUCUCUAUUUCGAAAAACCAGGGACAUGAAAUUGCGAUAUACUUGAUAAUUUCUGAUCUUUAUAGAUAAUGAUUAGUUGUUAUAUGUUGUGGUUUCUUGAUUACUUCCAUGAUUUUGGGUGAAUUUGCUGGAGUUUUGUUUUUGGGUUUAAUGGAACAAUUUGUAAAAAGCUUUGAUCUUUUGAGGUUUGUUGAAAAUUUGUUCUAAUUGCUACAUUGUAUCUGUAUUUGGUUUAAAUUUGAUUGAUUUGGUCCAAAGUACACCUAAUAUUUGUAGUUUGCUUAAUUUGGGUGAAAAUCUAUGUAAUUGGCAAUGCUUGAAGAUCUAGACCGAUAAUUGUAUGUAAAGAGGAGUCAGUGAAAUCUCUAUUAUAAAGAUACACUCCAGGUGUGCGGGUUGGAAUACACGGGUCUAAGAAUAUAGGCUAAUCACCAAUGGGAAUAUAUUUUAGACAAUUUAUUCAUCUUGAAAAUGAAACUUUAGGGUUUUUUUUACAAGUAAUUUUUUCUGUUCAAUUUUCGAUUAUUUCAAGAGUAUUGUAGUUGUGGAUUACCUCUGUUAGAGGGAGUAGCUUCCCCGGUUUAAACAUUUUAGUGCGGGUGUUGGAUUGUGGGAGUUAAUGUUAUACGAAUUCGGACACUAAUGCUUACAAAAGUCAAAGUUAUUUAUAAGACACUGUCACAGAAAUUAGAAUGUUUCUUAAUCUGAACUUCUGCUGACCCCUUAGUAUUGAAUUAUGCUUGGCAUGUCUUGAGCUUCGUUGUAGACCAUGAUGGUCAAGUGUAACAUAAGUGCACAGACAACUUAGAUAUGUCUUUGGUUGCCCCUUAUGGCCUUAUGUGGUUUAACAGGAAAUAGCAAAUAUGAAAGUAUUUAGUUCUUUUUAUAGAGUUUGGAGAUUGUAAUUUUCAUGACUACUUUUUGUUUUGUGGAAAUUUUUUAUUCUUCAAUCGGAUUGUGUUCCCACCAUUUAUAUGACGACCAAUGCCUACUUUCCAACCAUCCCACUUUCAAUAUCUUGCCGUCCUUACAAAUUUCAGAUGCUUAUAAAUUUUUAAUUUUUAUGAAUCUUAAUGUGUCGAUUGAUUUAAAGAUAUGGUUUGAUGGAUUUAAAGAUAUGUCAGAUCGAUGAACUGGAGAUUUGAUGGGUGAUGGAGUACCUAUUGAUUAGUGUUUUGAGAGCACACUCUCUCCCUCUCAACUCCAUCGCCCUUUCUCUCAACUCACAGAACCUCAGCAGAUAAUGCAAGUAUAAGACAAACACAUAGCUUCUUCAAUUCAACUUUAUUAGAAUUUAUCGGUGUUUUUUAAAUUUGUGAUUUGAUUUGAACAUUGUUUGAAUUUGUCGUGUGACUUGAUUGUGAGAUUUUGUGUUUGGUUUCUGAAUUGUAUGCUCAACUGAAUGAGUGUUGGUAUGCUGUAUGUGAGGGUUUGAAAGGGAAAAUCAAGGAGUUGGAGGAGGAGAUGAAGGAAAUGGCGGAGAAAGUAAGACAAACAAAAAUUGCUGCCUGGAUGGUUGACUGGCUGCACUGACUGACUGGAAAAGCACAGCUGCUGCCUGCUGCGAACUGAAACCCACCAGAACUACAUCAGAAAGACCCUGCAGAACCUGCUCAAAAGCAAAAGCCACUAGACCAUGUUGCUGCCACUUGACUACAUACAACAGAGAACCCAUAAACAGCCUGCUAAAAGCCAACAACACAGGCCAAACCACAACAGGUAACCAACAACCAACAGAAAGAGAACAACAAACAACCAAGAUUAAGGCACUAAGACACAAAGUUUGGGAUUAUGGAGGCAUCUGAUCAUGCGUCCUUGCUGAGAUAAUUGAUCGCAUUGCUUCCCUCAAGUAAUUCCUAUUCAAUUUCUCAAUUUCAAUUUUGAGGAUUGAGAUGAGUUUUUCCAAUUUGGUACUGUGAGGAUGAUCUAACCCACAGGCCCGUCUAAUGGCUCUUUUAUACGGGUAAAGAUAGAGAUUGGGAAAAAAGAUGUCUGGAGGAGGAAAUGUUGGUUGUGGAAAUGCUGGUGGCAGAAAUAACACAGUAAACACAGUUGCGGUCCAAGAAGUGAAGUCACAUCCUAUUAUGAAGACCAAUCUGCAACAACACCAAUGAAGAAUUUUAUCAAUGACGGGUUUCUAGGUGCUUCUUGCUCAACCGUUCCAAACUUCAGUAACCGAGGAACUAUUGGUAUAUUCUCUACUGCUCCUAUGAUCUGCUAAUUUUAUCCUUUAAUGAUACUUUAUCACGCUCUCUUGAACCAUGUUUGUUGGUCUUAUGUUGCAAAUUUGGAUUAUUUUGUUUAGUUCAAGUAAAAAGUCAUUGUUGAAUGCUUUCUUGAAUGAUUGAGUGAUGUUACCACCGCUUACCUAUGGAAUUUGAGUGUUUUUUGUAUGAUUGAGUUAAGUUUUGCAUAUGCAGUGAAGAAUGAGAUAACAUUGUGUUAUUUGAAUCGUUUGUGCAAAAGUAUAACCGAUAUUGUGUUUUUUUUAGUCCAAUAGAGUUUUAUUUCCCCAACUGAUAGGAAAUGGUGUUAUUUAUAUUUCUUUGAGUACUUGAUUUAAUUUGCACAGGUUUAAUUUUUCUGAAUUUUUGGUGAUUAUUUUCUGAUUUUAUGAGUUCAUUGAUCAUUUUUGAAUUUUUGAAAUUUUCUGAUUUUUUCGAGUUCGAUCAAAAGGGGAGACGCAUCAAGGAGUAGAAUCAAAAAUCCGGGAAAAAACAUCUACGAGAGAAGAAAUUAAGUAAUAUCAUACAAAUUUUGAAUUGUUUUAGUUGUUUUUACUUUUAGUACUGAAUUUGAGUAAAUUGUGUUCAUUUCUUAUUUUAUGGAAAAUCGCCAUGAAUUAUGUAUUUUGGUCUGGUUCGUGACAAUAUAUCCAUCUAUCAUUGUACUUUGUGUAUAAGCUCGCACGCAUCGCGUGCAUAUAAGACUAGUGUACUUAUAUGUGAAGUAAGAUGUACUUUUAUAUAUAGUAAUGUGUUUUUGGUCUUA